rnacentral:rRNA from 1 species
GACGAACGCUGGCGGCGUGCUUAACACAUGCAAGUCGAACGGUGAAGCCUUCGGGUGGAUCAGUGGCGAACGGGUGAGUAACACGUGAGCAAUCUGCCCUCGACUCUGGGAUAACUUCGGGAAACCGGAGCUAAUACCGGAUAUGACAUCUGGCCGCAUGGUCUGGGUGUGGAAAGAUUUAUCGGUCAAGGAUGAGCUCGCGGCCUAUCAGCUUGUUGGUGGG